rnacentral:rRNA from 1 species
CUACGGGGGGCUGCAGCAAGGAAUUUUGCGCAAUGGGCGAAAGCCUGACGCAGCGACGCCGCGUGGGGGAUGAAGGCUUUCGGGUUGUAAACCCCUUUUCUCAGGGAAGAAAAAUGACGGUACCUGAGGAAUAAGCCUCGGCUAACUACGUGCCAGCAGCCGCGGUAAUACGUAGGAGGCGAGCGUUAUCCGGAUUUAUUGGGCGUAAAGAGGGUGUAGGCGGUCCUGCAAGUUGGAUGUGAAAUCUCCCGGCUUAACUGGGAGGGUGCAUCCAAUACUGCUAGGCUAGAGUGCAACAGAGGGGGGUGGAAUUCCCGGUGGAGUGGUGAAAUGCUUAGAUAUCGGGAGGAACACCAGUGGCGAAGGCGGCCUCCUGGGUUGUUACUGACGCUGAGACCCAAAAGCGUGGGGAGCAAACAGGAUUAGAUACCCUUGUAGUC